rnacentral:rRNA from 1 species
UACGGAGGAUCCAAGCGUUAGUCCGGAAUCAUUGGGUUUAAAGGGUCCGUAGGCGGUUUUAUAAGUCAGUGGUGAAAUCCGGCAGCUUAACUGUCGAACUGCCAUUGAUACUGUAGAACUUGAAUUAUUGUGAAGUAACUAGAAUAUGUAGUGUAGCGGUGAAAUGCUUAGAUAAUUACAUGGAAUACCCAUUGCGAAGGCAGGUUACUAACAAUAUAUUGACGCUGAUGGACGAAAGCGUGGGGAGCGAACAGG